UUCGCAAUGCCCGAAAGGGUGACGAAGCGACGCCGCGUGUGGGAAGAAGGCCUUCGGGUUGUAAACCACUGUCAGGAGUUAGAAAGUGCAGGAGCGUUAAUAGCGUUCUUGCUUGACUAAGGCUCCAGAGGAAGCCACGGCUAACUCUGUGCCAGCAGCCGCGGUAAUACAGAGGCGGCAAGCGUUGUUCGGAAUUAUUGGGCGUAAAGAGCACGUAGGCGGCCUUGCAAGUCAGUUGUGAAAGCCUUCCGCUUAACGGAAGAAUGCCAGCUGAUACUACAGGGCUUGAGUACGGGAGGGGAGAGUGGAACUUCUGGUGGAGCGGUGGAAUGCGUAGAUAUCAGAAGGAACGCCGGCGGCGAAAGCGACUCUCUGGCCCGGAACUGACGCUGAGUGUGCGAAAGCUAGGGGAGCAAACGGGAUUAGAUACCCCGGUAGUCCUAGCCGUAAACGAUGGGCACUAAGUAGAGGGGUUUU
rnacentral:rRNA from 1 species